GUGACCUUUUUCCCUAUUGUCCCUGGUCAUAGCGACAUAAACGAUCUUCCAAUCGAGAGGUCACCCUAUCAAUAUUGACGAGGCAUUUCGGAAUCUACUUUGUCCGCCGCAACAACAUCUACAUGCCGUGUAAUAGCGUCUUAAAGAAAUUUAAGCCCAAAGACGUACGGUCCGCUUUGUCUUCCUAAAGGGUGGUACUAUAUUCUCUUUUCGCGAUAUUAUUUGCCAAUUUCAUUCAGUAGGCUCAUGUACACACACGUACACAUACACUCACACAAAUUUCUUUUUGUGUGUUGGCAAAACCUCGAUUAGCUUGAUGACAACAUAAGGUUAAGCCAAGCGAUCUGCCGCCAUAUAUAUUCUAAAAUUUUUGACAGUAUUUGGCAUUGAGAUGUCAACUUGUUCUCUUUUUACAUUCUUUCUUUGUUUACGUUUUCUCCCAUUUGAUGGCAUUUUUAAUCGGCAGAUUUGACAUCCUUUAUGGUGUUCAUGGGGCCUAUCUACUUUAGGUUUUCGCAAGUGAGUCUAACCUUAUAUUAGUGAAUCCUGAUUUGACGGUAUUAAGAUUUCAGAUUUUUGUUUCCACCUUCUACGUUGUUAUCUUUGUUCUUGCAUAUUCUAUAUUCAUGUACGCAUACCUUUUGCACACGUAUACACACACAAAACGUCGAUCAGCUUGAAGGCAAGAUGGCGAUUUCACCAUAUGUUUUUUAAGUUGUACAAAUGAGACC
rnacentral:sRNA from 1 species